rnacentral:rRNA from 1 species
GGACUACAGGGGUAUCUAAUCCUGUUUGCUACCCACGCUUUCGUGCCUCAGUGUCAGUGUCUGUCCAGAAAGCCGCCUUCGCCACUGGUGUUCCUUCCGAUAUCUACGCAUUUCACCGCUACACCGGAAAUUCCACUUUCCUCUACAACACUCUAGCAACACAGUCUCAAGCGCAAUUCCCAAGUUAAGCUCGGGGAUUUCACACCUGACUUAUGUCACCACCUACGCACCCUUUACGCCCAGUAAUUCCGAUUAACGCUCGCACCCUCUGUAUUACCGCGGCUGCUGGCAC